GAGACUACAUUUCCCAUCAUUCACCAGAGAUCAAGCCCACAUUUUUCUUCCUCUCGUUGACUGCUGCACAUUUUCAAGACAUCGCUUUCCUCCACAUUAAGUUUCUCCUGAGCUGCCAUCUGAGGAGGGGAGCCCACAGCGGCCUUCUCCCCUGGGAUACCAUGAGAAUACCGUCUCCAAAAAUAGAGGUCCCCUCCUCUCCCUUCAGCUCUUCUGCAGUCAGCUCACCUCUCCUCUCUGAAGAAAAACUGGAAACAAUGAAUGCAUUCGACAAAACCCUGUGAGCCAAAUCGAGACCAGACAUGUAAGAAACAGUAUCUCGAGUGUUGUGAUUCAGCUUAUGAAGAGUUUCCAGAGGCUGUGAGGACAGUAGAUACAGAACAACACAUGAGCAUGUGUACUCGGCCGACUGUCGGCUAUUCCUGUGUGUUCUUUCAUGUGUAGAUGAAAGCUAAUUCUGCUGAGACUGUUUAACAUGUUUGAUUUUUGAAAUUAGUUUUCUAACAGACCUAUAUAUCCCUGGAGAAAUGUUAUCCAUACAGAAGUGUGGAAAGAUAUAAGAGGCUUCACACCUGCCUUUGGCUUCUGAUAGCAACCCAGUUGCCAGAAUAAAUGUUUGCAUUGUAUAUUUCUGCAGAUUUGUUACACCUGUACUUUAAUAUGUAGUAGACACGUUGAAACUUCAUAUUUUAACAACGGUUAGGUUUAGGCACAAAACCCACAUGGUUAUGGUUACAAAGGAUCAUGUUUUGGCUUUAAAUACACAUUUUUCUGUGGCACUAUCCCAGCUGGAAACGCAUUAAUGUCUCCGUAAGAAACAACAAUUUUUCAUGGCAUUAUUUCGGCUGGAAACACAGUGAUGUCUCGGUAAAAAUUAGCCUCCUUCGGUGGCACUAUCCCCAAUGGAAACACAGCAAUGUCUUGGUAGAAACCAGCCACUUUCUAUGGCACUAUCCCUACUGGAAACACAGUGAUGUCUCAGUAAAAAUGGCUGCUCACUGUGGCAUUAUCCUGGCUGGAAACUCAGUGAUGUUUUGGUAAAAAUCAACUACUUUUCCCUGGCACCAUUUUGGCUGGAAACAUAAUGAUGUUUCAGUAAAAGCAAAUGCUUUCUGUGUGAUUAUCCCAGCUUGAAAAGCAGUGAUGUCUUGGUAAAAAGCAACCACUUUCUGUGGCACUAUCUCUGCUGGAAACUCAGUGAUGUCUCUGUAAAAAAUUAACCUCUUUCCAUGGCACUAUCCCCACUGGAAACGCAAUGAUGUCUCAGUAAAAACAGCUGCUUUCCAUGGCAUUAUCCUGGCUGGAAAUACAAUGAUGUCUCGGUAAAAGCAAUCACUUUCUGUGUCAUUAUCCCAGCUGGAAAAGCGAUGUCUGUAAAAAAAAAAAAACAUCAGCUUUCCGUGGCACUAUCCCUGUGGAAACAAAGCAAUUUGAUGAUGAAGUUCUGUUUUGUCAGGUUGACUGUUUAGAUGUUUUGCUCAUCUAUUCUUCAACUCAGUAAUGUGUAAACACAUGAGAUUAAACGA